UGAUAGCUCCAGAGGCUGCACUCCUCUUUUUAUCCACAGAAGAGGUACAAUAAAGGCAAAACCUGACAUGACACCUUCCCCUUACCACCCUGACUACAAGCUUCAUUUCAGACACAGGAGACUGAUUCUCUGGGUCACAGGAGAGUCCAGACUCUGUGGACCAGAUUGUUAAGAGUUUAU
rnacentral:sRNA from 1 species